rnacentral:rRNA from 1 species
UACAGGGGGGGCAAGCGUUGUUCGGAAUUACUGGGCGUAAAGGGUUUGUAGGUGGCUUGUUAAGUCAGACGUGAAAUCCCUCAGCUUAACUGGGGAACUGCGUCUGAUACUGAUGAGCUUGAGUGCAGGAGAGGAACGCGGAAUUCCAGGUGUAGCGGUGAAAUGCGCAGAUAUCAGGAGGAACACCGGUGGCGAAGGCGGAUCUCUGGGCCUUACCUGACGCUGAGGCGCGAAAGCUAGGGGAGCAAACAGG